GAGAGUUUGAUUCUGGCUCAGGACGAACGCUGGCGGCGUGCCUAACACAUGCAAGUCGAGCGGAGACAUGACCGGAAGUUUUCGGAUGGAAGGUAAUGUUUUAGCGGCGGACGGGUGAGUAACGCGUGAGAAACCUGUCCUUCACAGCGGGAUAAGACGGCGAAAGCUGUUCUAAUACCGCAUGAGACCAGGGUACCGCAUGGUACAGGGGUUAAAGGAGCAAUCCGGUGAAGGGUGGUCUCGCGUCCGAUUAGAUAGUUGGCGGGGUAACGGCCCACCAAGUCGACGAUCGGUAGCCGACCUGAGAGGGUGAUCGGCCACAUUGGGACUGAGACACGGCCCAGACUCCUACGGGAGGCAGCAGUGGGGAAUAUUGGGCAAUGGGGGGAACCCUGACCCAGCAACGCCGCGUGGAGGAAGAAGGUUUUCGGAUUGUAAACUCCUGUCCUUGGUGAAGAGGAAGAGACGGUAGCCAAGGAGGAAGCCCCGGCUAACUACGUGCCAGCAGCCGCGGUAAUACGUAGGGGGCAAGCGUUGUCCGGAAUGAUUGGGCGUAAAGGGCGCGUAGGCGGCUCGGUAAGUUCGGAGUGAAAUUCCUGUUUUCAAGGUAGGAAUGGCUCUGGAUACUGUCGGGCUUGAGUGCAGGAGAGGUCAGUGGAAUUCCCAGUGUAGCGGUGAAAUGCGUAGAGAUUGGGAAGAACACCAGUGGCGAAGGCGACUGACUGGACUGUAACUGACGCUGAGGCGCGAAAGUGUGGGGAGCAAACAGGAUUAGAUACCCUGGUAGUCCACACUGUAAACGAUGAAUGCUAGGUGUAGGGGGUAUCGACCCCUUCUGUGCCGCAGUUAACACAAUAAGCAUUCCGCCUGGGGAGUACGGCCGCAAGGUUGAAACUCAAAGGAAUUGACGGGGGCCCGCACAAGCAGCGGAGCAUGUGGUUUAAUUCGACGCAACGCGAAGAACCUUACCAGGUCUUGACAUCCAGUAAAAGCCAUAGAGAUAUGGUGUGAGCUAGCUCGUACUGAGACAGGUGGUGCAUGGUUGUCGUCAGCUCGUGUCGUGAGAUGUUGGGUUAAGUCCCGCAACGAGCGCAACCCCUAUUGUUAGUUGCCAUCAUUAAGUUGGGCACUCUAGCGAGACUGCCGGUAAUAAACCGGAGGAAGGUGGGGAUGACGUCAAAUCAUCAUGCCCCUUGUGACCUGGGCUACACACGUGCUACAAUGGCUGGUACAACGAGUCGCAAGUCGGUGACGACAAGCUAAUCUCUUAAAGCCAGUCUCAGUUCGGAUUGUAGGCUGCAACUCGCCUACAUGAAGUCGGAAUCGCUAGUAAUCGCGGAUCAGCACGCCGCGGUGAAUACGUUCCCGGGCCUUGUACACACCGCCCGUCACACCACGAGAGUUUGUAACACCCGAAGUCGGUGAGGUAACCUUUUAGGAGCCAGCCGCCUAAGGUGGGAUAGAUGAUUGGGGUGAAGUCGUAACAAGGUAGCCGUAUCGGAAGGUGCGGCUGGAUCACCUCCUUUC
rnacentral:rRNA from 1 species